rnacentral:rRNA from 1 species
AUUGAACGCUGGCGGCAGGCCUAACACAUGCAAGUCGGACGGUAGCACAGAGGAGCUUGCUCCUCGGGUGACGAGUGGCGGACGGGUGAGUAAUGUCUGGGGAUCUGCCCGAUAGAGGGGGAUAACCACUGGAAACGGUGGCUAAUACCGCAUAACGUCGCAAGACCAAAGAGGGGGAACUUCGGGCCUCUCACUAUCUGAUGAACCCAGAUGAGAUUAGCUAGUAGGCGGGGUAAUGGCCCACCUAGGCGACGAUCCCUAGCUGGUCUGAGAGGAUGACCAGCCACACUGGAACUGAGACACGGUCCAGACUCCUACGGGAGGCAGCAGUGGGGAAUAUUGCACAAUGGGCGCAAGCCUGAUGCAGCCAUGCCGCGUGUAUGAAGAAGGCCUUCGGGUUGUAAAGUACUUUCAGCGGGGAGGAAGGCGGUGAGGUUAAUAACCUUGCCGAUUGACGUUACCCGCAGAAGAAGCACCGGCUAACUCCGUGCCAGCCGCCGCGGUAA